rnacentral:lncRNA from 10 species
CCCGGGUUCACGCCAUCUUGCCACUAAACCUGAUUUACCAACAUAACCUGUUUCUGGCCAUGCUGUGAAUCUGCAUUCUUUACUGUGUCCUUGGGAUACUAGGAGGAACCAGAGGAGCAGAUCCUGCUAGGAGGCUAAGCAUGAAGAAGGAAUUCAAAGAAACCUUGUGGAGAACGAAGACACAGCAGGGAGUCUCUGAUCAAGUGCCACAUCUUUAGAGAAGCUUUUCCAAACAACCGCCUUCAAGCUCCAGAUAAUCCUCAGUGAGGUAUACUGUCCGCUCAAUAUCCAAGAGUCACCCUUCUACAAGGGACCUCUAGACUGCCCAUAAGUGAGACAUGACAGAGGUAAAGUCAUGCUCCUGUCUCCCUUGGACCUGGCUGGAAACUGCAUUCAUCAACCCAUGGAACCACCCCCCUGCCAUGAAAGCUAGCAAGAGGCCAAGACCCACAGAACAACCACCAUCAUCCCUCUGUCAGCAGGAAGCGGUUACAAAAGACUAACCUUUGCCCAUUUUCCCCAAAGAAUUGGGGUCUUGGAAUCUUGAGGGAGGAAAUGUUACAGUAGGUAGCUAGUCAGACAUGAGCAGAGCAGAAGAGGGCUUACACACACACACACACACACACACACACACACCCCACACACAAAGAAUCCUGGGCAACCAUCAGGCGAUUGUAAGGUGGUUGUUAACUGUGUCUCUAAAAUAACGAUUGGUCACAACCAGUGCAAUGGAAAGGCAGUCUCUCAAUAAACAGAAACACCUGGAGCUGAUGAUCAGCAGCUUCCUGAUCAGGUCUCAGAAGUUUGGCAAGCUGGCCUACACAUGCGCACUAAGAGGCAAAAUGGCACAGUUUAACUGGUAUAUGACUUCCAAUGGACAUUCAGCAUGUAAGGGAAAAAUGCCUCAAGUAAGCAUGCAUACAACUCCACUAAACACACUGUGCAUGCUCCCCUCUCAAGUGCUGGCAGGCCAGUGCACAUGGGGACAGCCCACCCCAAAGAAAGUCUCAAGGGUGUAGGGAUGCAAGACCCCGGGAAUAUGCCAAUGUAUUAAACCCUAAGUCAAAAGGUCAAAUCAUGCACUUGUCUUUCAAGUCACCCACUUGACCCUCUUCCAAGUGUACUUUCCUUCCUUUUGUUACUACUCUAAAGCUUUUUAAUAAAUUUUCACUUUUUGAAUUCUUGUCUGCAACUUAGACUAACCUUGCUUGUUUCUCUGAACCAACCAGUGAUCUCUGGCUCGACUCAGAAGCAACAAAUAGAUGGGUAACUUUUCAGACAUGAAUUGGAAUAAGAUAAGGCCAACUUGCUCAACUACAUUCCUUACUAAAACAUAAUAACUAAAAGCUACAGUGUGCAUUUCAUGUUUCACAUGUUCUGUUGCAGUGCCAAGACUAGGUUUAAGCAAUUCAGCUGCACAGUUACCAACCACUUCUUCUUGGAAGAUUUACCUACAAUCUAACUGAUAUACUUAACAAAAUUAUAUUUUUAAUAUUGAUUGUACAAUUUUUUACUCCUUAAUUGUAUCUGACAGCUUCUUAUACUUUAAACUUGAUCAACAGUAAAUUGUGAAGAGAGUAACUAUACACCACAUGGCUUGACAAUAUCCAAACAUCAUUCUUGUUCUACAAAAGUUACAAAUGGCUCCUAAGUGACAUCUCCAGGUGCAGGGGCAAACCAGAUGAAUAGGGCCUGAAGUGAACCCCCAG